UCAGUGCUUCUCCGGCAGCGAGGCGUGGCGGAGCCCCAUCCUCCUCCUAAGAAGCCUCUCCCCGCCACCGUACCUUCCUCGCCCGACGCCUUGAAGCAUGUGCCGGCGGGGGUGAAUUAUCAAGGUUCGCGUGUGUUCCCUUACAACGUUACCACCGGGACGGGUUAGCGCCAGGAAACUGCGCUCCGGGGAGGGCUGCAAGGUCGCCUGCUGGGAGACUGUUAAUUGUAUUUUGUUUUCCCUCCCCGGAGCGCGCAAGUAAAUCAUCGGUUGUUCGACGCAGCUGUUGUGCCAUCACUCCUGCCUGCGAGGCUUGGGCAGACGCCGACGUGAACCCCGUGACGACUGGGAGUUGUUGGGGCUGAGGACUGGCUGCCCCUUGUCAGCAGUUUUACUUAGAAGCUUGUGGUUAAUAAAUUAAGAACCUGUGUGUGUGUAUGUAUGUGUGUGUGUGUGUGUGUUUGUGUGUGUGUGUGUUCGCAUUCGAGAAAAUACAAAUCACACCUUGCAUGUUUUAUAGUACAAAUCAAUGGCCUCUGCACUACUAACACAACAUUGUCCCCUAAUCAGGAGAAAAAAUAGCCUGGCCCAUAAUUUAGGAGAUAUUUAUUAAUGUGGCGGUGAGUGGCAGCGGCAUCUCCUGGGCUGAGGAAAGGGAUGGUGGAAGCAGGAGGUGGUGGACACAGGGGGGGGGGGGAGGGAGCGGAUGGGGAGGAGCUGGGAGGAGGUAAGCGGGAAUUGCCUCGAGCACGGACAUAGGCAGCCACGAGGCACACGAAUACUUGACUUCUUAACACUUCUUCAUUCAUAUAUAAAGCACAGCCUGGCUCUUUUGCCAUCAAUGUGAAGUAAAGUAAAAGAAUGAGGUAACUAUGAUCAUGUGAAGCUGAGACGCCGUUCGAACAAAGAGUCGGACGGCUGAGGCGAGACGAGAGGCGGAAGGGGCAGCGCUGCGGGAGGCACGGUCAGGUGUCACUCUGCUCGCCACUCCGCUCACUUGUCUCUGUGGCGUCCUUGUGCCCUCCGGUGUCUUGCGCGGGUGGCCACCGGCUCACUGCGUCGCUGCGUGAAAGUAAGGCAAUGGUGGUGAUCGUAGUGUUUGAUAUUGUGGUGCCGAGCAAGGAGACGCAAGCCAUCCGUCCUUGGGUCCAGUCAUCGCUCAUCGGUACAGCCGCCUGCCGCAUUCGACGCCCCGCCUCAACCUCGCGCAGACUGACAACGUUUGCAGCGGUGACGGGAGUGACUUGGCUCCUGAAUGUUUUGAGAGUCGCCGUUAAAGCUGCGCCGCCCACCGCCCUGCCCGGCUUGCGACGCGCCCACCCGCCCACCACCCGCCCACGAAAACCACGGCGCUGGGAGCCUUACCUUAUUAUGCACCCACGUCACCACACCCAUGGACCGUCAUCACUACUACCACCACCACCACGAAAAACUGCUUCUGACCUAAUCUAACCCAGCUUAACCUAACCUAACCACCCACGAAAACCACGUCUCUGGAACCCUUAUCAUGCACCACCACCAUCACCACCACCACCACCACCACCACUACCACCACCACCGCCUCCACCACCACAACCUUGCGUCUCCUUACCUAACUUAACUCUAGUCUAACUUAACCACCCACACAAAACAUGGCUCUAGAAACCUUGCCCUACCAUGCACCACCACCACCACUACCACCUACACCACCACAACCAUGUACCACCAUCGCCACCACCACCACCACCACCACAACAACACGCUAUUAACCUAACCUAUGUAACCUCCUACGAAAAUUACGGUGCUGGAAACCUUGCCCUA